rnacentral:rRNA from 1 species
GACGAACGCUGGCGGCGUGCUUAACACAUGCAAGUCGAACGGAAAGGCCCUGCUUUUGUUGGUUGCUCGAUUGGCGAACGGGUGAGUAACACGUGAGUAACCUGCCCUUGACUUUGGGAUAACUUCAGGAAACUGGGGCUAAUACCGGAUAGGAGCUCCUGCUGCAUGGUGGGGGUUGGAAAGUUUCGGCGGUUGGGGAUGGACUCGCGGCUUAUCAGCUUGUUGGUGGGGUAGUGGCUUACCAAGGGUUUGACGGGUAGCCGGCCUGGGAGGGUGACCGGCGACAUGGGGACUGAGAGACGGACCAGACUCCUACGGGAGGCAGCAGGGGGGAAUAUUGCACAAUGGCCGGAAGCCUGAUGCAGAAACGCCGCGUGCGGGAUGCCGGCCUUCGGGUUGUAAACCGAUUUCGACUGUGACGAAGCGUGAGUGACGGUAAUGGGUAAAGAAGCACCGGCUAACUACGUG